rnacentral:rRNA from 1 species
CACGUAGGGCGCAAGCGUUGUCCGGAAUUAUUGGGCGUAAAGAGCUCGUAGGCGGUCUGUUGCGUCCGCUGUGAAAACUCGGGGCUUAACCCCGAGCCUGCAGUGGAUACGGGCAGACUAGAGGUAGGUAGGGGAGAAUGGAAUUCCCGGUGUAGCGGUGAAAUGCGCAGAUAUCGGGAGGAACACCAGUGGCGAAGGCGCCUUCCUGGCCUGUAACUGACGCUGAGACGCGAAAGCGUGGGGAGCAAACCGG